AACGAACGCUGGCGGCAUGCCUAACACAUGCAAGUCGAACGAGACCUUCGGGUCUAGUGGCGCACGGGUGCGUAACGCGCGGGAACCUGCCCUUAGGUUCGGAAUAACUCCCCGAAAGGGGUGCUAAUACCGGAUAAUGUCUUCGGACCAAAGAUUUAUCGCCUUUGGAUGGGCCCGCGUUGGAUUAGCUAGUUGGUAGGGUAAAAGCCUACCAAGGCGACGAUCCAUAGCUGGUCUGAGAGGAUGAUCAGCCACACUGGGACUGAGACACGGCCCAGACUCCUACGGGAGGCAGCAGUGGGGAAUAUUGGACAAUGGGCGAAAGCCUGAUCCGGCAAUGCCGCGUGAGUGAUGAAGGCCUUAGGGUUGUAAAGCUCUUUUACCCGGGAUGAUAAUGACAGUACCGGGAGAAUAAGCUCCGGCUAACUCCGUG
rnacentral:rRNA from 1 species